GAAAACCCCAAAACAUGUCUGACCAUACAUGUUGUUAUCGUUGCACCAAAUUCAUAUUAACUGCAGGCUUAACAGCUCUCUUUAUCUGGCUAAGUCUAAGAACCUCAAAACCAUCAUGCUCUUUACAUAAUUUUUACUUACCUGCCCUUAACAUAUCUGAUCAUUCGAACACCACAAGAUCCAAUCAUACUCUGUAUUUUCAGCUCAAUUUGAACAACAAGAUGAAGGACAAAGGUGUUCGUUACGACGAGAUUAUAUUAAGCUUCUUCUACUAUGGUACAAAUACAAGUAUC
rnacentral:misc_RNA from 1 species